rnacentral:rRNA from 1 species
AACGAACGCUGGCGGCGCGUUUUAAACAUGCAAGUCGAACGAGAACCUCAGUGCUUGCAUUGAGGGGACAGUGGCGAACGGGUGAGUAACACGUGGGAACGUGCCUUUCGGUUCGGGAUAACCCAGGGAAACUUGGGCUAAUACCGGAUACGCCCUUCGGGGGAAAGAUUUAUUGCCGAAAGAUCGGCCCGCGUCGGAUUAGCUAGUUGGUGGGGUAAAAGCCUACCAAGGCGACGAUCCGUAGCUGGUCUGAGAGGAUGACCAGCCACACUGGGACUGAGACACGGCCCAGACUCCUACGGGAGGCUG